rnacentral:rRNA from 1 species
UACGUAGGGGGCGAGCGUUGUCCGGAAUUAUUGGGCGUAAAGAGCUCGUAGGCGGUGUGUCGCGUCGGCCGUGAAAACCUGCAGCUUAACUGUGGGCUUGCGGUCGAUACGGGGCAUCACUGGAGUUCGGCAGGGGAGACUGGAAUUCCUGGUGUAGCGGGUGAAAUGCGCAGAUAUCAGGAGGAACACCAAUUGCGAAGGCAGCUCGCUGGGACGUAACUGACGCUGGAGACGCGAAAGCGUGGGGAGAAACAGG